rnacentral:rRNA from 1 species
UAGGGAAUCUUCCGCAAUGGGCGAAAGCCUGACGGAGCAACGCCGCGUGAGUGAUGAAGGUCUUCGGAUCGUAAAACUCUGUUAUUAGGGAAGAACAAAUGUGUAAGUAACUAUGCACGUCUUGACGGUACCUAAUCAGAAAGCCACGGCUAACUACGUGCCAGCAGCCGCGGUAAUACGUAGGUGGCAAGCGUUAUCCGGAAUUAUUGGGCGUAAAGGGCGCGUAGGCGGUUUUUUAAGUCUGAUGUGAAAGCCCACGGCUCAACCGUGGAGGGUCAUUCGAAGCUGGAGAACUUGAGUGCAGAAGAGGAAAGUGGAAUUCCAUGUGUAGCGGUGAAAUGCGCAGAGAUAUGGAGGAACACCAGUGGCAAAGGCGACUUUCUGGUCUGUAACUGACGCUGAUGUGCGAAGGCGUGGGGAUCAAACAGG